rnacentral:rRNA from 1 species
AACGAACGCUGGCGGCAGGCUUAACACAUGCAAGUCGAGCGGGCCCUUCGGGGUCAGCGGCGGACGGGUGAGUAACGCGUGGGAACGUGCCCUCUUCUACGGAAUAGCCCAGGGAAACUUGGAUUAAUGCCGUAUACGCCCAAAAGGGGAAAGAUUUAUCGGAGGAGGAUCGGCCCGCGUUGGAUUAGGUAGUUGGUGGGGUAAUGGACUACCAAGCCAACGAUCCAUAGCUGGUUUGAGAGGAUGAUCAGCCAGACUGGGACUGAGACGCGGCCCAGGCUCCUACGGGAGGCAGCAGUGGUGAAUCUGAGACAAUGGGGGCAACCCUGAUCCAGCCAUGCCGCGUGAACGAUGAAGGCCUUAGGGUUGUAAAGUUCUUUCAGCUGGGAAGAUAAUGACGGUACCAGCAGAAGAAGCCCCGGCUAACUCCGUGCCAGCCGCCGCGGUAA